UUCUGUUGGGCCGAGUGCCUCAUUGCAGUAUGUUUGCCACCACAAGCUGCAGAUUGUACUGCUACUUAAGACAGAGACUUUAAUUGACAUAACCGUGUCAUCUAAAUGUAAAACCCUCACAGUUAUUAAUGAAGGCAGGAGUAUAAAUUUGAUUCCCCCCUCCCCCCUUUUAAAUACUUCUCCAUGACUUUUGCAUAAGGCUGCUGGCAGGUAAGGAAUCAAUACUAUUAAAGCCUCGACAGAAGAUUGUGGGUAUAUAUCAUUACAGAUAUGACAAAAGUAUCAGAAUCUGUAAUUAAUCACCGACGUCUCUGUAGCUGGGCUCUUCGAAGAAAACUGGGGCAUUAACACUGCCUGAGGGAAAAGAAAGCAACAGGGUCAGGCUGUUCAGCACAGAAAAAAAAGGUGAAAAAUGUGCAGGAAAAGCCAGCUAUUGAAGACUAACAUAGAGGCAAUUAUUAAAAAAAAAAAAUUAUUGACUUGGUAUGUUCUGAGACCUAACAAUUUUUCUCUCCUCCCCAAAACAUCGAUUUUGAUCCAGUUCUGUAAUUAGGUUACAAUUGUUUUAUUAGGAUUUUUAAAAAAAUCUUUAAGUCUUAUUAUUAAAUAAUUCACAUUAGGGCAAAUAAAUGCAGUGAAACUGUGUUUUUAAUUGAGCAAAUACAUUCAGAUAUGUAUUAUUAAUAUUUCCUAAUUUAAAAAAAAAAGAGUACUACACAAGAGUAGAGUGAACUGAGAUGAAGACUCAAGUGUUCCUAUUGAGGGAAACCAAAUUUGUCCCAGGGGUAGAUUCAUCAUUUUAUCUGGCAUUGAUGCAGCCUCCUGAGCAAAAAGCACUAACUAUUCCAAGCUGAGGGGAAAUCACUCUCAUCUCACAACUCCACCCCCACUACGCUUGGGCCCACUUUUAUGCAGCAGCUUAAUUCAAAACAGAAACCAACUCCGAGGAGCUGAGAGGCCAUACCUCUACCGACACUUAAGCACCAACUAACGUACACAUUUUGUUCCAACACACUUUCUUACGAGUCAAGCCAGAAAAAAAAAAAAA